rnacentral:rRNA from 1 species
CCUACGGGCGGCAGCAGUGAGGAAUAUUGGUCAAUGGACGAGAGUCUGAACCAGCCAAGUAGCGUGAAGGAUGACUGCCCUAUGGGUUGUAAACUUCUUUUAUAUGGGAAUAAAAUGUUCCACGUGUGGGAUUUUGUAUGUACCAUAUGAAUAAGGAUCGGCUAACUCCGUGCCAGCAGCCGCGGUAAUACGGAGGAUCCGAGCGUUAUCCGGAUUUAUUGGGUUUAAAGGGAGCGUAGGUGGAUUGUUAAGUCAGUUGUGAAAGUCUGCGGCUCAACCGUAACAUUGCAGUUGAAACUGGCAGUCUUGAGUACAGUAGAGGUGGGCGGAAUGCGUGGUGUAGCGGUGAAAUGCUUAGAUAUCACGAAGAACUCCGAUUGCGAAGGCAGUUCACUGGACUGCAACUGACACUGAGGCUCGAAAGUGUGGGUAUCAAACAGGAUUAGAUACCCGGGUAGUC